GCGAUUGUGGCGAAGUGGUUAACGCACCUGAUUGUGGUUCAGGCAUUCGUGGGUUCGAUUCCCAUCAGUCGCC
rfam:Bacillus sp. B-jedd genome assembly, contig: CONTIG000001